GAUGAACGCUGGCGGCGUGCCUAAUACAUGCAAGUCGAGCGAACGGACGAGAAGCUUGCUUCUCUGAUGUUAGCGGCGGACGGGUGAGUAACACGUGGAUAACCUACCUAUAAGACUGGGAUAACUUCGGGAAACCGGAGCUAAUACCGGAUAAUAUUUUGAACCGCAUGGUUCAAAAGUGAAAGACGGUCUUGCUGUCACUUAUAGAUGGAUCCGCGCUGCAUUAGCUAGUUGGUAAGGUAACGGCUUACCAAGGCAACGAUGCAUAGCCGACCUGAGAGGGUGAUCGGCCACACUGGAACUGAGACACGGUCCAGACUCCUACGGGAGGCAGCAGUAGGGAAUCUUCCGCAAUGGGCGAAAGCCUGACGGAGCAACGCCGCGUGAGUGAUGAAGGUCUUCGGAUCGUAAAACUCUGUUAUUAGGGAAGAACAUAUGUGUAAGUAACUGUGCACAUCUUGACGGUACCUAAUCAGAAUGCCACGGCUAACUACGUG
rnacentral:rRNA from 1 species